GUCCACGCUGUAAACGAUGAGCACUAGGUGUUGCGGGUAUUGACCCCUGCAGUGCCGACGCUAACGCAUUAAGUGCUCCGCCUGUGGAGUACGGCCGCAAGGCUAAAACUCAAAGGAAUUGACGGGGGCCCGCACAAGCGGUGGAGUAUGUGGUUUAAUUCGACGCAACGCGCAGAACCUUACCCGGGUUUGACAUCGAGGCAAGACCGGUAGAAAUACUGGUCGCCCCUUCGGGGGGCCAAAGACAGGUGCUGCAUGGCUGUCGU
rnacentral:rRNA from 1 species